rnacentral:misc_RNA from 1 species
AAGGAGUCGUCUUCGUAUGCGAGUGUUUGGGUGUCAAACCCCUACGCGUACUGAAAGUGAACGUAGGUGAGAGCUUCGGCGCAUCACUGACCGAUCCUGAUGUUCUUGGAUGGAUUUGAGUAAGAGCAUACGGGGCCGGACCCGAAAGAAGGUGAACUAUGCCUGUAUAGGGUGAAGCCAGAGGAAACUCUGGUGGAGGCUCGCAGCGGUUCUGACGUGCAAAUCGAUCGUCAAAUAUGGGCAUGGGGGCGAAAGACUAAUCGAACCAUCUAGUAGCUGGUUUCCG